CACCAGACUCCUACGGGAGGCAGCAGUGGGGAAUAUUGCACAAUGGGGGAAACCCUGAUGCAGCGACGCCGCGUGAGCGAUGAAGUAUUUCGGUAUGUAAAGCUCUAUCAGCAGGGAAGAAGAUGACGGUACCUGACUAAGAAGCCCCGGCUAACUACGUGCCAGCAGCCGCGGUAAUACGUAGGGGGCAAGCGUUAUCCGGAUUUACUGGGUGUAAAGGGAGCGUAGACGGCGGCGCAAGCCAGAUGUGAAAGCCCGGGGCUCAACUCCGGGACUGCAUUUGGAACUGUGUGGCUGGAGUGUCGGAGAGGCAGGCGGAAUUCCUAGUGUAGCGGUGAAAUGCGUAGAUAUUAGGAGGAACACCAGUGGCGAAGGCGGCCUGCUGGACGAUGACUGACGUUGAGGCUCGAAAGCGUGGGGAGCAAACAGGAUUAGAUACCCUCGUAU
rnacentral:rRNA from 1 species